UAGAUGGAGUGACGUGUCAUCCUUUCGCUCCGAACAAAUUUCCAAAACUUCGCGUUUUUUUCUGUUUUUUUUGCGGAAAAUUGUGGAUUUUGUACGGAACAGCGUACCUUCGUUGCGGCAUCGUGCAAUUUUCCCGGCCCAUAGUGCGAUUUUAGUUACGAAAUCCUGAUUUUUUACUUUGACAAGUGUUAGACUUCAGUUUUCAUUAUUAACACACUUGGAGCUUCGGGAGCCUUUUCCAGUCAUCUUCAAGCGAUCGAGGGAUUUUCCAUGAUGGGAAUGGACUAUUUUCAUGCGGAAAUGAGCAGUUUUAAUGUAUGAAAAUGCCAGAUAUGAAUAUGGGAAACUUCCACUUCACCGGAUUUCAACGGCUUCUCAAGUGACUAAAACGAAGUUUUCAAUGGGUAGUUCCGGAUGGUGUGAGUGGAUGACCAAGAGAACUCGAGAAAUUUGGGGAUUUGUUGGAGGGCGGACGGAAAAUGUGGGACCACGAGGUAAGCCGAUAGGACUUUGGGAGGAACAGCAAGAUCCAGUCCAUCAUGGUUCCAGGCAGCCCAAGAAAUGUUUUAGUCUUGCUGCUGAAACAGUCGCUCCUUCACUAAAUACCCAUCCAUCCAACUAAAUUUAACUUAAAUCCGUUGUAAAACUCUCACUUUUUUCGUUUAAUUAAAUAGCUUUUAUUUGAAUGUGAGUGUGCUUUAUCUAUUCUGUGCCUGUGCGAUUGCACGUGUUGCAACUCAAUUUCAAGAAUCACCAUUUCUAG